UUUUUCAGAUGCACAAAACAAAAACCAACUCCACUACAGACUCACACUGCACUACACACUUAUCAUACACUCAAAAAACACUAAAUAUGCACAAAUCUGUGAAAUCUUGAAGUUCGCUAAUGCUGCUGCUGUCUCUUUUCCCUCACUGUUACUUCCA